rnacentral:lncRNA from 1 species
CUUCAGAGGAGUGUUCAGAGCAGAAUCCACAUGGAGAACAGUGGGAGGAGCGAGAGCUGAGGAAGCCGAGCUGGUGGAGAUAACUUUUCAAGAGAGUUUGGCUCUGAAGGGGGAGAGUGAGCUGGGACAAGCUGCUGUAACAAAGUCCCACAAACUGGGUGGCCUAAAACAACAGAAAUGUAUCCUGUCACUGUUGUGGAGGCUGGAAUUCUGAAAUCAAGAUGUCAGCGGAACCAUGCUCCCUCUGAAGGCUCCAGGAGAGAGCUCUUCCUUGCCUCUUCCUAGCUUUGGCGGUGGUUGGCAAUGCUUGCUGUUCCUUGGCUUGUAGCCCCUGCCUCAAUCAUCAUGUGGUCUUCUUCCCACUGUACAUGAAGAACUCUUGAAGACAGGAGCUGCAGAGCUGGCCCCACAGCACCAGAGAUGUCACAGAAGAGCAGAAUUCCAGCCCUCCAUGGCACAUGGGCUACAUCUGCACUAUUUUGUUCAGAGCUCCAAGAAGCAGGUGCAUUGGGAUUUUCACCAAAGAACGAAAGGAAUAAACCCAUCUCCCUAUUUUUAACCCCCCAGAAGAAGCCUUAUUCUCUCCUUUCUGGAAUGUCAGGACCAGUGUCAUUUUGUCCAGGCUGCAUUGACCUCUUUGCUGGACCCCGGGCAUAGGGAGCCCUUGCUGCUUCUCCACCCACCAGUGCUGAGCUCCGGGGGUGUUUGCCUUGCAGGUCCAAGGUGAGAAUGUAAACACUGCAAUUCCUCUGAAAACUGGCUGGAACCUCCUCCAGGGAGGAAGGGUUGCUCAUGGGCUGGCCAGGCUCCCAAACAUCAUACACAGCAACCCGGAGCUCCAACUUAACACAGCUUGGGGCAGGUCCUCAAAUGACCUUCCGUUUCUUGUCUGCCCAUCUGAGAGGACCAUUCCAUUCCAAACAACAUUCCUUUGAUAAAAGUGGUUACACACUGUAAACAUCAAUGAGCCAGGAACAUUCUCCGGUGCAACAGGAUUCUGAUAAAGCAGUCCUAUUUUGCAAAACCUUCCAGUGUGAAACAUCCUCCCCACAGCAAGCAGGGAAAUUCCUGGGAUGCCACAACAUUGGGCAGAGUGUCCAGGGCCCCAGGGAAGGAGCAGAAAGUCUAGAGGUGGAGCUCCCAUUGUGGGCAGAGGGACCUGAGUUUUCAAUCAUCUGUUCAUCAGUCACUCACUCAACAAAUAUUUGCUGAACAUGUCCCAAGCGCCAGGCUCUGAUGGAGUCACUGGAAAUGCAGUGUUUCCACAUGACUGCAAAGCUCCCCUGACUUUCAAAAAGCAGCAAUGAUUUCCUCUCCCCACACAGUCCAGGUUGACAGUCGGGUGCAAUAUCCACACGCCUCUCUACCUCACUCCCUCUGUGAGUCUGGAUGUGUUCUUCUUCCUCUCCAGCCCCCUGGGCCCUCAUUCUGUUGGCUUUUCUGCUGUCACUCUCUGUUCGCAGGUAUCUCUUCUUGAGUCUGUUUCUGGGUCUCUCAGUCUCUAUUCUUCAAGUCUCCCUUUGUGUCACCAAGUGCUUCCCAGCCUAGCCACUCCUCUACCUCUCCAUCAGUCUGCCUUACUUCCAAUCAAUUCAUCCCCAUUUUUUUCUCCUUCCCUCUUCUGUUUCUUCUCCUUAAGUGACUGUUGAUACAGAACUAGAUACAUUUUUCUUAGGUUGGUGGAAUAGACUUUCACAUUCUCUGGUGUUUAGUUCUAAAAUUGAUUGAAAAAUGUUUGUAUUCUUUAGUGUUGUCUGAAUUUCUUAUAAGAGUAUGUGUAAUUCUUUAAAACUGUUUAUUAAAAUACGAUGCCUAUAUUAGUCCAUUUUCAUCCUGCUGUGAAGAAGUUCAUGAGACUGGGUAAUUUAUAAAGAAAAAGAGGUUUAAUGAACUCACCGUUCCACAUGGCUAGGGAGGCCUCACAUUCAUGGCAGAAGGCAAAGGAGAAGCAAAGUCACAUCUUACAUGGCCGCAGGCAAGAGAGUGUGUGCAGGCGAACUGCCCUUUAUAAAACCAUCAGCUCUCGUGAGACUUACUCACUAUCAUGAGAACAGCAUGGAAAAACCCACCCCCAUGAUUCAAUUACCUCCCACCAGGUCCCUCCCAUGACACAUGGGGAUUAUGAGAGCUACCAUUCAAGAAGAGAUUUGGGUGGGGACAAAGCCAAACCAUAUCAAUGCCCGUGAAAAAGUGCCCAUGAAAUGCCAUGCAGAGCUCCAAGAAUCUCACUCACUGAACACACUUGUGUAGCCACAUCUUGGACUAAAACUUGCUUAUGUUGCCUUUCAAUAUUCUCCCCCACAUGCGUCACCACUGCCCUCACUUCUCUCAGCAUGGACUCCUGUCUUUGAUAAAAGACCAAAUCCCUGGUUUUGUAUGUUAUGGAAGUGAAAUGCAGUCAUAUGGAUUAGUUUGUGUCUAGCUUCUACUGUUCAGGACUUCACGCUCUUUGUUGCAUGUAGGCAUGGACUCUUCAUUGUCUUUGUGAGGUGGUGGCCAUUGUGGGGCUAUCCCGCAAUUUCUCUUCAGUUGUUAAUAGGUAUUAGGGUAGUUUCCAUUUGCAGCUGUUACAAAUAGGCUGCUGUUAAAAUUCAUGUAUGUGUCUUUUGAUGGCAUGUAUUACUGUUAUAAUCAGGAAAGAACAAAGAAAACUAUUUCCAUUUGGAAAGAUGGGGAUGGCCAAGUGGGAUGUUUUCAUAAAAGGGCUCUGGAGUACGAGACAGAACACGAGUCUUCCUUCUGGCUUCUCUAUUCUCUAGUUCUACAACUUUAGGCCAAUCAGUUAACCUCAGUGAGUCUCAGUUUUCUUAUCUGUAAAAUAUGAACGGUAAUGCCUGUCAUUGGUAGGCAUUACUACCUCACAGGGUAACUGUAACAAUCAAAUGAGAUGAUGGAUAUGAGGAAAAAAAUUUUUAAGGUGUCAUGCAAAAAAUAAUGACCAGGUGUGGUGACUCAUGCCUAUAAUCCUAAUGCUUUGGGAGGCUUAAGCAAGAGGAUUGCUAGAGCCCGGGAGUUCAAGACUAGCCUGGGAAACAUAGUGAGACCCUGUCUCUACAAAACUAAAAUGAAAUAAAAAUUAGUCAGGCAUGGUGGCAUGCACCUGUAGUCUCAGCUACUUUGGAGGCUGAGGCAGGAUCGCUUGAGUCCAAGAGUUCAAGGUUACAGUGAGCCAUGAUCAUGCAACUGCACUCCAG